rnacentral:rRNA from 1 species
GAUGAACGCUGGCGGCGUGCCUAAUACAUGCAAGUCGAGCGAACGGACGAGAAGCUUGCUUCUCUGAUGUUAGCGGCGGACGGGUGAGUAACACGUGGAUAACCUACCUAUAAGACUGGGAUAACUUCGGGAAACCGGAGCUAAUACCGGAUAAUAUAUUGAACCGCAUGGUUCAAGAGUGAAAGACGGUCUUGCUGUCACUUAUAGAUGGAUCCGCGCUGCAUUAGCUAGUUGGUAAGGUAACGGCUUACCAAGGCAACGAUGCAUAGCCGACCUGAGAGGGUGAUCGGCCACACUGGAACUGAGACACGGUCCAGACUCCUACGGGAGGCAGCAGUAGGGAAUCUUCCGCAAAGGGCGAAAGCCUGACGGAGCAACGCCGCGUGAGUGAUGAAGGUCUUCGGAUCGUAAAACUCUGUUAUUAGGGAAGAACAAAUGUGUAAGUAACUGUGCACAUCUUGACGGUACCUAAUCAGAAAGCCACGGCUAACUACGUG